rnacentral:rRNA from 1 species
AGUGAACGCUGGCGGCAGGCCUAACACAUGCAAGUCGAGCGGCAGCGGGUCCUUCGGGAUGCCGGCGAGAGGCGGACGGGUGAGGAAUACAUCGGAAUCUGCCCUGUCGUGGGGGAUAACCUAGGGAAACUUAGGCUAAUACCGCAUACGACCUACGGGUGAAAGCGGGGGAUCGCAAGACCUCGCGCGACAGGAUGAGCCGAUGUCCGAUUAGCUAGUUGGCGGGGUAAAGGCCCACCAAGGCGACGAUCGGUAGCUGGUCUGAGAGGAUGAUCAGCCACACUGGGACUGAGACACGGCCCAGACUCCUACGGGAGGCAGCAGUGGGGAAUAUUGGACAAUGGGCGCAAGCCUGAUCCAGCCAUGCCGCGUGGGUGAAGAAGGCCUUCGGGUUGUAAAGCCCUUUUGUCCGGGAAGAAAUCGUCUGGGCUAAUACCCCGGGCGGAUGACGGUACCGGAAGAAUAAGCACCGGCUAACUUCGUG